UACGAAGGGGGCUAGCGUUACUCGGAUUGAAUGGGCGUAAAGGGCGCGUAGGCGGCUUGUACAGUCAGACGUGAAAUUCCUGGGCUCAACCUGGGGGCUGCGUUUGAUACGUAUGGGCUUGAGUUCGGAAGAGGGUCGUGGAAUUCCCAGUGUAGAGGUGAAAUUCGUAGAUAUUGGGAAGAACACCGGUGGCGAAGGCGGCGACCUGGUCCGAUACUGACGCUGAGGCGCGAAAGCGUGGGGAGCAAACAGG
rnacentral:rRNA from 1 species